UACGUAGGGUGCGAGCGUUAAUCGGAAUUACUGGGCGUAAGCGUGCGCAGGCGGUUUGUUAAGUCCGCUGUGAAAGCCCCGGGCUCAACCUGGGAAUGGCGGUGGAAACUGGCGAGCUAGAGUGUGUCAGAGGGGGGUGGAAUUCCACGUGUAGCAGUGAAAUGCGUAGAGAUGUGGAGGAACACCAAUGGCGAAGGCAGCCCCCUGGGAUAACACUGACGCUCAGGCACGAAAGCGUGGGGAGCAAACAGG
rnacentral:rRNA from 1 species